AAGACAUUUAAGCAGUUACUUUGAUUUUCCAACUCCUCUGGAGUUAUGAGCGGUUGAAAAUAUGUUUUAGGGCUAGUGUCCAGGACUUUGGCGGGAUUUUUGCCUAUUUAUCACGUUUUUAAAUAGCAAUAACUGGAAAACCGCUUGGAAAAUCAAUCAGCCGUUUAAAAGUCUUAUAUGUAGUUUUUUGUAAGCUUUCUAAUCAUGCAAGUCAUUUUUUCU